GGACCUUCACCACCAACCCUCACAGCUCCUCCACCUCUCUUAAUAUCUUCUGUGAACUGGUAACUGUCCUCACAGUCUCAUUCCUGUUUCAUCUCCAUGAAGGAGUCGAGUUCCCAGAGUCUCAGGAUGAACAGUUUGCAGGACGAGUCCAGUGGGACAAAGACGUCCUCAGAGAAGGACGACUCAGACUUCAUGUGUCCAGACUCAGGACUGAAGACUCUGGAAUGUAUGUGUGUAAAGUUUUCACAAGUUAUGGGAGGAGCUCUGGUAGAUGUUGGCUCAAUGUCUUAGCAGCUGCUGAUGAACCCAAACCUCAGAGACCAACAGUGAGACCAGAACCAGAGAGUCCACGAAACAUCUGGAUCUUCUACGUUCAACUGGCAGCAAUAACAGUAGUAAUAGCAGUUCUACUGAUCCUCGGUCUUUGUUUUAAAUCUAUUAAUAAUUUCUUUGCUGAUAAUAAAAGAAAUAGCCUUCAGUUUGCAGCUAUAAGUGUUUAAAUAGAAACGAGUCAUCAGGACUAACAGCACUAAGUCUGGAGGACCCUCUUUAAAGAAAUUAUCAGAGGAUAAAGUCCCAGUCAUAAAAACAUAAUCAGACUCCUGGAGUCUCUCCUCCGUCUGUUCUUAGUGUCAGAAAACUAUUUGUGAUGUAAAUGUUGUGUUAUAUCUUUAUAUUUUACACAAGGUUCAUGUUACUAUAGGUGGGAGGUUAAAUGAAGUUGACAUGUUACAUAAUGUUUUGUCUUCUUCUAGUUGUGUAUUUACUUGCAUCCAUAUAUUAUGUCAUAUGUUAUCUUCCAUGUUACCUGUCUAGGGGCUACUGAUGUAAAUUAGCAUUGAUGCUAACUCUGGCAUGUUCACAUCUGGAUGUUCAUUAACCAGCUCUGUCCAUGUUCAGUUACUAUGAAUUUAAAUUGAGUUAUUACACAAGAAAUGA